AUGAGUUGCAGGGUGAGCGUUGGUCAACUCCAGGUGAACGUUUUUGUCAUGCGCUUUGGAGCUCCAUUUCUGCGGCGCCUGUACGUCUUACGCCUAUCAAGAGUCAUGCUGUGUUCUUGCCAUCAGACUGGUGUCACUUUGGGUCGACAUCAUUCUUUGUUGAGGAUCAGCACAGAAACAAGCCCACGGAAAUCUGCUUUCUUAGUACCUCUGAUCUCAACAGUGUAUUUUCGUGUCUGCGACCACUGGAACCGAUCCUUCAGGAUGAGUAGUAAAUUGUGUAGCGUACCCGUGAUCUCUUCUGUUCUGCAUCUGAAACUAUGGACGAAAGGCUUCACCCAGCGUGUGGUGACUUCCUUAUGGGCGGAUGUACCUGUGAACGUUGGGUUAAUUUUUGUCUCUGUGACUGUUCAAGCCAGUUCACAGAAAUGCCCCACUAAAUUUCUUAGUACACGUGAACUGCUAUCUAGUCGUCUUCGACUACUGAGCCAGCCUGCAGCGAGCCUUAGUGAAAUGUUUAGUCGCCAAGAUACCUGUGAUCUUUUCAGAAGUAUUUGUAACUGCUGCCAUUGAAGAACAGUCAUGCUCUGCCUCUGGUAACUUCCAUCGAGGCUGUCUGAUACCCGUGAAUAUUUAGGAUGAAAUUGUGUUUAUGUGUGGCCGCUGAAGCAAGCCCACACAAAUCCUCUAUUAGCUUUUCAUAUGGGUGAACUCAUAUAAUGCAUUUUUCUGUCUAUGACUGCUGAAGCGAGCGUGCUGCAAGCUUUUAGUUAAUUGUGUAGUCGCCAAGGUACCUGUGACGGUUCAGCAAUAUUUGGAUGUGACCACGGAAAGGUCACAUUCAGCUUCUGUUUACUUGCUUAGAGGCUUUCAAGCCUAUGAACCCUUAUGGUGAAUUUGUGUUUGUGACCACUCAAGUGCAGAAAGCGUCUUGUAACUCUAGUACUUGUGACAUCAGUUUGGUAUUGUGUUGAAGCAAGUGUCUUGUAACUGCUUUUGUAUCUGUGAACUCUCCAGUAAUGUUCGUGUUUGCAACUGCUUAAGUGAUCCUUGAGUAACUUUUUUAAUGCCCAGUGUGUCUAAAAUAUGUAGUACUUUUACUGUGUGCAACCGCUGAAGGAGGCCCGCAGAAAGCGGAGUAGCUUCCGUCAUGGCUAAGACACCUCUGAACUUUCCAGUAAAUGUUGCAUUUAUGUGCCCGCGACCGUUGAAGUGAGCCAGCCCACAGUAGCCCUCCUACUAACUUCCUUUGUACCCCCCCCCCCCCCCACCCUUGCAUAGGGCUCUUAAAGUUCUUUUACUGGCCGAGGUGCAUCUGCGAAUUAUUAGCUCAACUGAAAUGGUCUUGUCACUACACACGAAAGUGUCGAUGUUUGCUCUGGUGACCUUUGCCAGAACUUGUUAUGGAUGCACAGUGCAUUUGCUCUGCACUCUAGGAACAGUUGCACCCUUUGGGGUGUAAAUUUGUCACAGAACAAUAAUCGUCAUCUGUCAUGCUUGCGUUUCCUUUCUUGAAAACCCUGCGCUCGUUACUUUCCUGUCAAGAAUGCUCUGUCAUGCUUAUGCUAAUAAUGCGCAUGCCGUUCGUGACAUGGAAGUACCGGGCUUGCAGCGUUAAAGAAAGGAAAUGCAGGCAAGACAGAUGACGAUUAUUGUUCUGUGGCAAACAUACACCCCAAAGGGUGCAACUAUUUUUAGAUUGUAAAUGGAUGAUCAUACAGCAGCUGUUUGUCUACAUAUGACCACUGAACUAGCCUCGAGUAAUUUUGUUAAUUGCUUAAUGUAGUUGUGACAUCUUAAUUUAGCAUAACUCGUGGUUGUGUAUGUAACUACUGAAUAUGGCCUAGGGAAAGGCUCUGGCAACUUAAAGUGGCUAACAUAUCUAAACUUUUAAGCAAAUUUUGCAUUGAUGAGCCUGCGACCACGAAAGUGAGCCCACAGCAAGCCUCGUGAUAAGUUCCAUAGUGGCCCCACUGCGAGUUCUUGAAUUUUCUUGCUACCCAAAGUGCAUUUCUAAAGAGUUUGAAUAAUGUGCACUUUUACUAACCAUGGUGCAGUAUAAAUAACUCCUAAUAGCUGAACUUGUAUGAUGAAAUUAUCGAGUUUUAUUUGCAUUGAUGGGUUUUACUGAAAACUGUUGAGUGCAUUUUAGAGUUCAACGAGUGAUCUUCCUGCAACUGUUCUAUUGAAAUAAAUAAAUGCCGUAUUUUUAAUGAGAUUGUCAAAUGAUUCAGCAGCCUGCAGAACUUAGUUCUGUAGCUUCGUCCCCGUUAGCACAAAAAGGUAUAGGUUGCAUGUCUAUAUGUUUUGAAUUAAUGCAUUUUUAUCGAGUUGUAUGUAAUGUAUUUGCUUAGUGUAGCAGAGAACCAUGUGUACAAUGCUUAGUUGCACUGCAGCCUUCAUUUAACGUGCUUUGAGAUGCGGUGGGCUGCAUUCUUGGCUUAUCUCCUGGUACUUCAGCUUUUGCAUGACAAAAAUAUUUCGUUGACUUAUUGGAUUCCUGGAUUUUUUGUGUUGCUAUGGUAUACACUGACGCCAUGAAUGCUUAACCAAUUUUCUCUGCUUGUAAAUAACUUAUUAUUUAUAGAUGUGAAUUUCAAGGCUGUAUUGAUUGUAUCAUUUUAUACUAUUCACUUUCUGUAAUAUAAUUUCUUGCAGCAUUCUAUUGUUGAUUUUUAUACCCGUAUGCGUUUCUGUUAUACAAUGUUCACUAAUGUUCACUUUUUUUUUCUCGUUUAUCCAUUAUAGUAUGUUUGUGUUCUCUUUAUUGUGCACAGUGCCAUUUCUGUAGGGGGUACAGACCCCGUCAAGCCGAAUUCAUUUGGCUUUUGUUUGUACUCCUGUCAUCUGUACAUGUAUAGAUGCAAAAUAAACUUGAAUUGAAAUUGA